UUUCCACUUCGCGCACACUCACGAAUGCUGCCGCCCCUCCGACGGACCGCUUAUUGCUCAUACCCGUCACUCGAUACUUCAUUAGCGCUCCGCUCUCUCAAGCAGACGGUUCCCUGUACGACGAUUUUUCUGCCGGUGCUCCGAGAACAAAAUGGCGGACGAAAUUGCCGCCCAAAAGCCGAAAAAGACAUCCUCCAAGCCACCAUCUGGUGCAAUUCACUGGCGUCGGAGCCUUUGCUUUUCCACGCCCGGCAGCUGACCAAUGGACUUGAUUUUCGUCACUUCUAUGAAAUUUCAAAUGGUAUUAAAACCACAGAUAUUAAUAUCAUAACUUACAACAAUGAUUGGAGAUCUAUAAUGUUGAACAUUUGACCAUAUAAAAUGUUGUCAGAGACAGUACAUGCAUCUCAAGGUAGAGUUUUAUUAUGUGGGUACAAUCUUUAAUAUGGCCAUGCUGUAAGUAAGGAUUUUAUGCUUAAUUCAAGUAAGGAUAGAGAAGUGGGUUUUCAUUACACAAUUAUUUUACCAAUUGGAUUGGUAUAUAAGUAUUGUGAAUCCAACAUCACGUCAUUAUUAUUAUUCAACCAUCAUUACACACAGGUUGGAAAACUUUCUCCACAGUUAAACCCUGAGUUAGGUUGUUAAUUCUAGGGUUUAUUAGAAGGUUAUUGUUUAUUCAUCGCUAUAAUUAUUAGCCAUGACCAGUGUUGAAGAUUAUACUACUUCAACGCUUAACUAAUUAUAUAUUGACUAAAUCUUCGCUUGUCAACAAUUUCUAAGGUAUUCUUAUCAACGAACAACUUUGUUUUAUUGAAGCAACAUUAUAAAAUAAUUUUAUUUUUAGUUCUAUGUGCAUCUAAUGUGUUUUAGAUUUUCCAAACCUCAUAUAUUAGAAGUUGGAGUUAUUAUAUCUAAUGGAUGGUCCUUAAGAUGAAGUGUUUAAAAUUGGAAAUGUGUUAUAAACAUUUAGACACAACUGGAUAUUUUUGUAUCUAUUACUUUGUAUUAGCAAAGAGGUUGGUGGAGUGACUGGUGAUCAAUCCCUAAUCAACCCCAUCUAAGUUGCUGUUGUAGACUCAGACAUGAAGUUAACUAGUGCAAAACAAAUUAUACUACAUACAAAUUAUUUUGGCUCUUUAGUUUAGAGCUCUAUGGGCUUGAAGUUGUCAAUUUUUUUUUUAUGUAACAUUUUAUUUUCAACACAAUUUUAAAUCUGUUUGCAUAGUGUUUAUUUAACACAAGUGCCUCCGUAUUCUUUAAAACCCAAAAAUGUAUUUAUUUUGAAAAUAAUAGAAAAUAAUUUGUAAACUAACAUAACUUAAAAGUAAUCAAUAAACACACAACUAUUUGACUUUA